AGUUUCUGCUUCAAUAAAGACACCACUAUCUUGAGUUGACCUUUCUACUUCCCUUGUAUGAAAUCUUUGACCAUUAACAAUGAAACCAACAAAAGACAUUGCAUGCAUCCUAGGCCCUUUUGCUAGUGACUUUAAUGUGUCAGAUACAUUAGCCAUACUUUCUUGGAUCUUUAUCUAUUCACCAAUAAACCAAACAAUAGGUCAUCCUAUACAUUGAAAAGUUUAUUGCAUUUGAUUUUUUUUAAUGUUAACUUAGAUGGACUAAAUGAUUAGCUUACCAUGAUAAAAAUGAAUCUUUAUGCUAGCUACAACAUGUUAAGAGUAAGUGAACAUGAUAUAUCAUUAGGAAAAGAAAAAGAUAAAACGCAGCUGUUACUACAAAUAUAACAACAUUAUUAGCAUAUGUUCAUUAUUCAUACUACAGUAAAUCAAAUAUGCAUUCACACUAUAAAAAAUAAUAAACAAUGAAUUCCAAAUUCAAAAUGAAUAAUAAUAGUUUAAAUUUCAAUUUCAAUUUCCUCAGAAUCCUUCCUUACAUGAGAAUCAUUACCAUCCACAUCAUUAGGCUCCAGCCUAGAAGCAUCGAUAGGCAUAUUAGUUGAAUUUACAUUCUCAUCAUACAUAUUAAGGUUGUGAUAGCCCCUUGGUGUUGCUUUAAGUACAACAUACCAAUUCGAUGUAUCACUUUCUCAAGAGUAAAAAACUUGUUUCGCUUGCGACGCCGAUAUGAAAGGAUCUAUUUGCCAUUGAUUUUGUCCUUGAUGGAGAUUCACCAAUGUGAAACCAUCAUCUUGCUUGACUCCAUUUAUAGUGUUAGCCCAAUCACAAUGAAAUAUGGGCAUUUGAAAUGUACGAUAGUCAAGCAAAAUGAUAUCUUUUAUAACCCCAUAGUAGGAUACAUUUCCAACAACUGCAGCAUUAUCCUUCGCACUAGAUCUACAUAUAGUUUCUGCUUCAAUAAAGACACCACUAUCUUGAGUUGACCUUUCUACUUCCCUUGUAUGAAAUCUUUGACCAUUAACAAUGAAACCAACAAAAGACAUUGCAUGCAUCCUAGGCCCUUUUGCUAGUGACUUUAAUGUGUCAGAUACAUUAGCCAUACUUUCUUGGAUCUUUAUCUAUUCACCAAUAAACCAAACAAUAGGUCAUCCUAUACAUUGAAAAGUUUAUUGCAUUUGAUUUUUUUUAAUGUUAACUUAGAUGGACUAAAUGAUUAGCUUACCUUUUCUGCUAACCAUUGGGAAAAAGUUUCAGUGUGCAUUUUGUGUAGCUCUUGAAUAUCACACCUACGUCUCCUAAAUGAUCUCUGCAAUUUCUCCAUAUGCAUUCUAAGAUCAAACUAAGUUAAUUACAAGACUAAAUACAUAAAUUAAAUAAUAUACAUGAUCGAUAAAUACUCACUCUCGAAAUGGCUCCGCUUCUAUUGUAUUUAAUAAUACAUAACGAUGUGCGAUUUUUAACAUAGCUUCAGACAUUUUCAAUGGUCGACCUUUUAAGAUUGGCCACCCUCCUAUUAAUGGCUCAUAAACUUAAACACCAUUGUUCCACAAUUCAAUCAAAUCAUCUAUUAAUGGCUCCAAGAAUACAUCAAUGGCAUUCCCUGGUUGUUUUGGCCCUAGUAUUAACAAUGUCAACAUUAUGUUCUCCUCAGACAUACAUACCCAUGGAGGAAGGUUAUAUGUUACUAGGAAAAUAGGCCAACAACUGCAUACAUAGCUAAAAUUACGAAAAGGGUUAAACCCAUCAGCAGCAAGCCCAAACCUGAUAUUUCUUGGAUCAGAUGCAAAAUUAGACCAUUUCUUAUUGAUGUUAUCCCAUGCCACUGAAUCAACUGGGUGUCUCAUUUUUCCAUCUGAACUUUUGUUAAUUGAGUGCCAUUUCAAUUGUUCUACUUUUUCACAUGACAUAAACAUCUUUCUAAGUCUAGGUAUUAUAGGGAAAUAACGCAGCACUUUUGCUGGUACUCCUGUCCUAAUCUUCUUAGUUCGAGAAUUUACUUGCCAUCUAGAGGUGUUACACUUAGGACAUGUAUCUAAAUUUUCUUUCUCCUUGGUGAAGAGACAACAAUCAUUAACACAAGCAUGGAUUUUUUUGUAACCGCUAU
rnacentral:lncRNA from 1 species